rnacentral:tRNA from 1 species
GGUGGGUUAGUAUAGUGGUUAGUACACAAGGAUUUCAACCUUGCAGAGAGGGGUUCAAAUUCCCUACCCAUUACAAACCA